CCCCACCCCCUCUCACCCCCCUGCGUCCCAAACUAUGGCACAAUAGCGCUCAGCUCCUCUGUCUAUUCUGUGUCCAGCAGGAGCCCGCGGUGAUUCAUUGCUCCAAUUAGGGGCUCUGCAGCCCGUAGCUCGGGCUGUCUGAAGGGUCUCCUUUGGGACCCACGAAACCCAUCAGCUGCUGCCGCUGAUCUUUAAGGAAAGGUCAAGCCGGACGCAUUAGAGCCAGGCCGUCUGGCAGGAUGAUACCUUCUGUAAUCCCAGCACCCUGGAGAUGGAUGGGAAGUUCAAGGCCAGCCUGGGCUGCAUAGUGAAAACCUGUCUCAAAAAAUAAAACCUUGGCCGGAGGCAGUAUCCUCCCCAGGACCCGGGUGUGCUCCUCCAGCAUCCUCCCCAGGACCCGGGUGCGCUCCUCCAGCAUCCUUCCCAGGACCCAGGUACCAUCUGUCCAUCUGCUUCGACGGAGACAACCUGGGCCCUGUGCUUGCCCUCCAGCUAACUGGUGACCAAAAGAGAAAAACUGGUCUUUGGCUGCCCUUUCUUUCCUUGCUCUUCCCCCUCCCCUCUGCUCCCCACCUCUUCCCCUCCCCCCACUUCCCUUCUUCCCUUUCCAUCUGGUUAGAGCAAUCACUUCACUACUUUCUACAGAAAGAGCUUCAAACAUGGCAGGAUCCUGGCAAAAAAAUAUAUCCUCCUCGAAGGGAAAGAAUGUUACUAUGA